rnacentral:lncRNA from 1 species
AAAACCCACCCCCAUCCCCCAAGGCUAGCGCAUGCUGCCUAGCAGCCUCCACUCCACUAGCUAGUGCUGGGCCCUGCGUUCCACCCACUCCCAUUAUCAGCCCGGCAGACUGGGGCUGCCCCCUUCACAUCUGUGCAGGGGAGGGGGCACCCCUCGGGGACAUCCCUCUCCAGGCCAUGUCUCCUGGUCUAGGAACACUCAGGAGGAUCUUGAAGUGCCCACUCUAGUCCACGCUAGUAGCUGAACUGGAGAGAGACGGCUGGUAGGUCAGUCCCUGUCCUUGUCCCUCAGCCCCAGCCUCCAGGCCUUCUGUGGAGGUAAAAUUGCCAUGGGUCAGGACUUGGUGACCCGAGUCCUGAGCAUCUUCUGUAACGAUGCCUCUUUCUUUUCUCAGAUGUUGCCCAAAGUUUUGCAAAAAGCUUCGUUCAUUUCAGGUACUCCCCCGCCCCCUAAAGAAUUAGCUGCCGUCAGUCAGCCAGGGGGUCAGGAGAAGAGGAAGUCUGGGUUCAGAGGUCAAGACUUGCACCCCGGCCUGUGCUUCUUGCCUCUUCUCGAGACUGCCAAGAUUUCCUCCAUUAAAAUACUCCUGAGGCACCCCUGCCCCUGACCCCACUGCUGUUUGCUGUACAUAAAGGCUAAGUGGGGUGAAGUGGGCAGGUGUGCACAUGUAGGCGUGCACAUGUGUGUGUGCGUGUGUGUGCGUGUGAAGAAUGCACAUAGGUAAAGGGGAGUGUGGUCCAGUGGUUCCAGAAGAGGGACAGAACUGUGUUCCAUCCCUAGCUUGACCACUGGCUCGCUGUGUGGCCUUGGGCAAGUCACUUAACCUCUCUGUGCCUCAGUUUCCCCAUCUGUAAAAUGGGGAUAAUAAUACUGACCUACCUCACAGGGGUGUUGUGAGGCUUUAACUAGAUGUUUUGUAAAGCGUUCUGAGAUACAGAGACAAAGGCGCCAGGGAAGGGCAAAGCAUUCUUUGGACUUGAGGAAGAGGAACUAGUACCAUAAACGCUGCUAUUCUGAGAGCCAUUUUAAACUGCACUGCUCCACCCCCCCCGCUUCUCAUCACCAGGACAGCAGGUCGAGAAAUGUCUUUCCUUGCACUUGCUUCUGGGGUUUGUGAUUCUUCUAAUUUUCCCCCUUGCUGUAUCUCCCUCCUUACCCCCUCCACUCGUUCCCUGUUCUGUUUAUGCGGAAAUGGCAGAAACGCUUGAGAAAUGCGAAUGUGUAAGUGGACUGGAAGUUUAUAGUCUGGAUUUUCAAUUUUACUUUGUACUGUACAUCUUUUUACUUUAGAAUUUGCAAUAAAGGGUUACGUCAAUCUUGUUUUCAACUCUCCUCUUGGACUGGCCUGUCAUUCUGUCAUGGCUCUCACCCCAGACCCCUAACCCCAGGAUCCCCUGGCAACAGCUCUCCAAGGCUUGGUUUCCGGGUGGGGCUGGCUCGUCCCUCGGAGAUGGGUGGGAAAGUGGCAAGGAAGCUUGCUUGAGUGACUGAGUGGCACUGCACACUCUGGAC